rnacentral:rRNA from 1 species
AUUGAACGCUGGCGGCAGGCCUAACACAUGCAAGUCGAGCGGAGCGGCGGACGGGUGAGUAAUGCCUAGGAAUCUGCCUGGUCGUGGGGGAUAACGUACAGAAACGGGCGCUAAUACUGCAUACUAUCAGUUGAGUCUAGGUCGGAUUAGCUAGUUGGUGGGGUAAAGGCCUACCAAGGCGACGUUCCGUCGCUGGUAUGAGAGGAUGAUCAGUCACACUGGAACUGAUACACGGUCCAGACGCCUACGGGAGGCAGCAGUGGGGAAUAUUGGACAAUGGGCGAAAGCCUGAUGCAGCCAUGCCGCGUGUGUGAAGAAGGUCUUCGGAUUGUAAAGCACUUUAAGUUGGGAGGCGUUACCAACAGAAGAAGCACCGGCUAACUUCGUGCCAGCAGCGGCGGUAAUAC